CCGGUGAUAGCUCAGUUGGUAGAGCGAUCGACUGUAGAUCGAUUGGUCGGGCGUUCAACUCGCCCUCGCCGGA
rnacentral:tRNA from 1 species